rnacentral:rRNA from 1 species
GACGAACGCUGGCGGCGUGCUUAACACAUGCAAGUCGAACGAAGAGCGAUGGAAGCUUGCUUCUAUCAAUCUUAGUGGCGAACGGGUGAGUAACGCGUAAUCAGCCUGCCCUUCAGAGGGGGACAACAGUUGGAAACGACUGCUAAUACCGCAUACGAUCUAAUCUCGGCAUCGAGGAUAGAUGAAAGGUGGCCUCUACAUGUAAGCUAUCACUGAAGGAGGGGAUUGCGUCUGAUUAGCUAGUUGGAGGGGUAACGGCCCACCAAGGCGAUGAUCAGUAGCCGGUCUGAGAGGAUGAACGGCCACAUUGGGACUGAGACACGGCCCAGACUCCUACGGGAGGCAGCAGUGGGGAAUCUUCCGCAAUGGACGAAAGUCUGACGGAGCAACGCCGCGUGAGUGAUGACGGCCUUCGGGUUGUAAAGCUCUGUUAAUCGGGACGAAAGGCCUUCUUGCGAAUAGUGAGAAGGAUUGACGGUACCGGAAUAGAAAGCCACGGCUAACUACGUG